GACCAGGGGCAGGGAGGUGGGAGAAAUGGAGAGAUGUUGGUCAAGGGGUACAAAGUCGCAGUUAUGUAGCAAGAACAAGUUCUGAGGAUCUAAAGUACAACUUAGUGACUAUAGUCAAUAAUACUGUAUUGUAUACUGGAAAUUUGCUAAGAGAGUAGAUUUCGGGUGCUCUCACCACACACAUGCAGACACAUACACUCACUCAAAGAUGAUUACUAUGUAGAGAGAUGGGUAUGUUAACUAGCUUGAUUUUAGUAAUCAUUUCACUAUGUAUGCGUAUACCAAACACGUACACCUUAAAUAUGUACAAUUUUUAUUUUAAAAAAAAGAACCAGUCAUGACUUAUUAGCACAGCCAACUUGGCAGUCACUAUGUGAUUCCAUUUUGUAAGCUAUGAAAUCGUUUCUUUGCAAUCUCUCUUUAAAAUUGCUCCAUUGCUCUGAUGCAGCAAAGAGGCAAGACAAAAAUUAUUGCUUUCCAGUGGACUCAUGCCCGUAAAAACAAACCCAAGUGUACUGCUGCUAAAAAGAAGCCCGUCUGCCACGCUUCCUAUUUAUUUGGCUUUGGAGAAUUGGACAGGGCAGAGCUGAGGAAGGCGAGAUACACGGCACUGAGUCAUCACCUGACAUGGUUCUCAUCGCCGGGAGCCUCCUGCAGGCCUGGCGGCUAACAGCUAACUCUCACGACUUCCCCCUCAGUUCACUUCUCCACAGAGCAAGACGUUGUGCUCACUUCCUCAUUACGAUUCCUGCCAACAAAGUUCAUUUCUUGUUUAAGAUAGAAACAAAACAAAAACAGCCUUGAAUGCACACUCUUACUUUGGUUCCUGGCAUCAAAUCUGACUUUCCGUAAGAGGGAUCUGUCGUGUUUGCCUGAUCAGUCCCUCUUUCCACCUUUCUCUACAGGGACAGCCGUCUCACCACCUUCCCUUAGAGAUCUGUUCCUCCCCCUAAAGGCCCUGGGGUUGAUUCCAGUGGGGCUGCCAACCACAGAUUCCUGAGCCCUGGCCACAAGAGGAUGAUGCAACCUAAGCCUGAGCCGUCAUAGAGCCCCACCCCCAGCCUGGAGCCUGAAUGAGGGGACUGAUCAAAGCUGGGCCAAUCAGCUGGGACUUCUACACAGGAAAGCAGGGGAGGGGAGAGAAGCCUUCUCAUUGCCUGGGCACAGCUGAGCUGAAUAAUAUAAGCCAGGAGCUUCUGGUGGCCAUGCCUCCUGUGCCUGUCCUCGCAAGGAUGAAGUCAUCCCCAGUAAGAGAAAAUGAGGCCUGAGCACAGAGAAAAGUCAAGACGAAUGACGGAGGCAAAGGGAUGGGAGUAGGAAGGUAACAGGAUGUGCGAUGGGACUGUUCCUGUUGUCCGGGAAUUCCAGCUAAAGCCCAGAGGCGAGGACAAAGAGGCUCUAAGCCAAGAAGCACACCACCUGCUGAAGCGAGCUGCCCACCAUGGCACACGCUGCCUACCCGGGCUCACCAAAAGGUGACCUGCUGUCCCCAUCGCUCCUUCCUAAUCUGUACGAGAUGACUGGGAAGGAGAAAAAGGGGAGACGGAGGCAGAAUCAUCUGUCCUGCGGGGAGGGCAGUGUUUGUGGUGAGAGGUGACCUCCCCCUAAGCCAAAUACUGGGACACUCUGGGGGUUCUGCCCAGAGAGGGGGCCCUGAGGGAAGGGGAGACUGGCCUGCUGUUCCCUGGUUGGCUAUUAUUUUCUAAUGUGCCCUUGGACUUACCGAAGGAAGGUGGAGGAGAAUGGGCACUGUUUCAGGAUGGGAAUGGGGCAAAGGGAGAGCUCCCUGCACUCCUACUGUUGCCCUGACAAGAAGGGAAGAAUUUCCAUUCGGGCUAAGUGGACAUCGUGGACGGUAGCUGGGCUUGGGCCCACAGGUCCUCCAGAGGACUCACCAGCAUUUGAAUAUCUGCCUCAGAGGGGGAGUCAGUCACUGUGAGCCCAAAACACAGUAACAGCGGGCCUAGAAAGGACGGCAGCUGUGGCCAGGUGGGUAAAGAUGCUCUCGUCCAGUUUCCUCUCCUUCUGCCCAGCCCAAACACACCAGUGAGCUUUGAAGCCAGAUACCCGAGGGUUACCAUAGAAAUGUGGAUGAAGACAGUGGGGACUGAAGUCAGGUUUCUGAGGGUUACUGUAGAUAUUCAAUAUGAACAUGAUUGCCUUUCACAAUUUGCUAUUUUCUUGUUUGAGCUGAGGGGUGACUCAGGGGUCAUGAGGACCUGUGAGCCUGUUUUGCUGAAGAGAGAACGCCUUCAGGGAUGUUGUGAUGACAGGACGAUCAGCCCCCCAGUGGCUGUUGACGCCCAGAAGUCAGAUUGCCCAGGAGCUUCUCUACAGUGAAAGAAAUACGGACUUACCCUUCGUUUCUCCAAAACUCCUCCUGCCAAGCCCCUUGGCUCUGUAAAACGCCCUGCUUUCUUCUCUGGUUAAGGCAGAUUUAAGAGAACCUCUCCUCCCGCCUUCUUGUUUCGGUGAAUUCAAAUAAACCUUUCUCCGUCUCCACGCAGGGAUGGCUCAGCGACUGACCUACUGCGCGUGGGUGUGUGAACUGGAGACUAAGAGGUUCCCUAUGGAGCGGGGCCUUGAAGAAGGGAGGGAGGGAUAGCUCAGAACCUGAUCACGCUCCUUCCCCAGCUUCAUUGCUAGCAGUCAGGAUUCCAGUUCAAGACCGCUCCAUGUGAGGGCAGGGGAAAAGGGAGAAGAGAUUUUAAUCAUUUGAGAUUGAAGUCUAAAAGUAGACUGGACCUUUAAGAACCAGGAAGGGGAGUCUUCCUGUGUCUGGCCGGCCCUGUCUGCCCCCAGGGAGCAUUUCCCACCCCCAACUCUGCCCUGCAGUGGGGUGGGGCCAGAUCCCCGCAGGCUGUGCUGCCCAGGCCCACAGGCCUGAGUACCUGGCUUCUGGCUCCUUUGGUAGGUGAGGGACUGGCAAGCAGGAGGAAGGGAGGAGUCAGGCAUUUUCCUUCCAUCCUCUCUGCCUCCAGUGCAGUUGCUGGCUGCCGGCUCUUCUUCUCUUCUGCCUCCAGGCUCAGCGCGGUCCAGCUUUUGCUGUUUGAGCCUCGCCUCCGGGCUGUGGGAACACGUCUUCCUCCAUUUGCCCCUCUGUUGAUAAUAUCUGGAUAGUCUUACUGUGCCCUGUUCAGCUUCUCAGCUUUUCCAUCACUUGUGUAACUUAUCAUCUGCAUCAAAUUCCCUCUGUUUCAAAUACUUAAAGUGCUUUUUGUCUUUUGAGCGGACCUUAACUCAUCUUUUUCCCCAGAGGUUUAUAAGGGUCUAUGCUGUAAAGGACGCUGCUAUAAAUAUCGCAGGGUCGGGGAUAGCAUUUGUAAGAAAUCAAAUAGUUUUAUAUUAAUAUCUUCAUCAAGACAUCUCAAUAGACUAGUUACAAACACCCCAACUCAAAUGUCAUCUCUUCAGAAGGGUAUCUCAGCAUCCCUCACCCCAGUGGCAUCCCAUUACCUUAUUUUGUGUUUUUUAAAGCCGUUUUCAGUACCUGAAUUCAUCUUAUCUAUUUAUUUGUGUCCAUGUGUAUUAUCUCCCUCCCCUCCCACUGGAAGAUAAGAUCCUUGAGGCCAGUAACUCUUGCUGUAUCCCUAUGCGCUCAAUAAUUAAUAACUGACCGGCCAGCAUCAGGACCUGGUGAAAUGGAGUGUGCGCCAUCCUGAGACGCUCCACCAGCAGCAGCGGGAUGUGAUAGUUGUACGUCUCUUGGUUGUCAAAUCUUGAGGGGGUGAGAGCGUUUUUAUUGUAUGUAAGUUAAAGCAUUCUUGGAAUUGUAUACAUGGGAGAGAGAGAGAGGAAAAGAGAUACAAGAGAGAGAGAGACACAGAGAGAGACAGCGUCUAAUACCCACAAGGGGGAAUGUAAUGGGCAGGUUUUAUUUUCACUUGCCAAUUUACCAUUUUUUCCUUCUGUAGCAUCCUCCUUUUUUUGAGGAAUUGCUCCUAUCCCACCCAUAAAAAUAGCUAAGAAUGCAGAAUUUGUGGAGAGGAUCAAAGAUAUUAAGAUGUCACAUUUACUGUUGCUGCCAUGACCGAAGCCGAAAAGCAGCACAGAACCGUGCGGAGGGUGGGCCCUGACUUGGACCUGCCUCUAAGGAGGGGUGAGCCUGGACUGCUGAGUGGGGGUGUAGGAGCUGCCUCUGCGUCUGCACCUUUAGCAGCCCUCUAGCCCAUCUCUGGCUUCAGCCACGGCUGUGGUAGGCAGUUCCACUCUGCUUUUGCUGCUGGUAUUCCACCUGCAGACUCAUGCCACCUGUCUUUCUCCAUUCCACGCUCAGACCUUCUCCCAAUGCCCGGAAGCUUUCUGGGCUGGCUUGCAAGCCCAGCUCAGAAAUGCAGAGGAGUUAAUACCCUAUAGGCAACCCUCAACCAACACAGAACGGUGGCUGAUGGACAAAUGCUCCAGCCUCCAGUCCAACAGGUGGAGACUUUCGGGAGAUAUUCUGCACGCUUCUCAGAGGUCCUGGUGGAAUUGAACUCCCACCGCUGACAGUAGUGACCUCAACAAUGCAUCCAUAGAUGAACUCUCCCCUUCUCUGUCUCACUCCCCCUGUCCCUUCACUCCUGCUUCCUGGGAUCACCUGUACCAAGUCUUGUCUCAGGCUCUGCUUUGGGGGACACUACAGUCUGGGAAAUGUUUGAUGUGGACAGAAGCAGGACUAAUGGUGGAACUUCUAAGUUAGCCUCCCUCCUGCAUGUGGGAUGCCUUGAAGAAAGCUGCAGCGUAGAUGAAAAGGAAACGCUAUACCAUCUAACAGCUGGGACACCGGAGACCAGGCGGUUCUGCUGCAGGCCCCAUAACCACCGAGGACACUAUGAGAAGCAGCGCCCUUCCUCGAGCUCUGAGAAAGCACCCCUGCUUGGACCGACUGAGACCUGUGUCAGCGAAAGCUGGGGCGGUGUGGGUGACAGGACUACCAGAACAGGGUGAUCCUGUCAGAGCCCCUCUCUUCAGGACUGCCAUGCCUUCAGCACAGCUCUCAGCAGCACCAGCUCUCCACUAACAGCCAAUGGAGCGCCGACCAACACCUGGCAAGUGAAUCUGGCUGCAGGGACAUCCCUAAGGUCCCCUCCCCCAGCAGGUGUCCACAGAGCAACACUGAGUAGGACUGAUUCCUGGGCAAAUGUAAGCAACCCUGGAAUAUUUGAAGGUAGAAUUAUUGAAAAAUAUUUGACGAAGAAAAGGAUUGAACUUUGUGCUAAUUUCACACCUAGCAGAUCAGAGCUGUAAUUGAGGCUUAAAAAGAAACACGAACGCACUUUAUCAUCACAAGUUGGUAAAGUCAGGAAUGUACUUUACAACCACUUUAUCAACAUUUAGUCAAACAUUUCCCAAAACUCAUUCAUUUGCCUAGUAUCUAACAAUUUACUAUCUGUACUAUUCGUUACUUAAUAUUUUUCUUUAAACCAAAACACUUUUUCAAACUUAAAUAUCCACUUAAGCUUCAUAUUGAAUGAAAAUAAAUGUGGAAUUAUG